GUCCACGCCGUAAACGAUGGAUACUAGCUGUUGGAAGCAAUUUCAGUGGCUAAGCGAAAGUGAUAAGUAUCCCACCUGGGGAGUACGUUCGCAAGAAUGAAACUCAAAGGAAUUGACGGGGGCCCCGCACAAGCGGUGGAGCAUGUGGUUUAAUUCGAUGAUACGCGAGGAACCUUACCAAGGCUUAAAUGUAGAUUGACCGGUUUGGAAACAGAUCUUUCGCAAGACAAUUUACAAGGUGCUGCAUGGUUGUCGU
rnacentral:rRNA from 1 species